GAGGUAGAAGGAUCACUUGAGCCCAGGAGUGUGAGGCUGCAGUGAACUAUGAUUACACCACUGCACUCCAGCCUGAGUGACAGAGUAAGACCUUGUCUC
rnacentral:miRNA from 1 species